rnacentral:rRNA from 1 species
UACGGAGGAUCCAAGCGUUAUCCGGAUUUACUGGGUUUAAAGGGUGCGUAGGCGGAUUGAUAAGUCAGUGGUGAAAGCCUACAGCUUAACUGUAGAACUGCCAUUGAUACUGCCAGUCUGGAGUAUGGUUGAGGUAGCUGGAAUGUGUCAUGUAGCGGUGAAAUGCUUAGAGAUGACACAGAACACCAACGGCGAAGGCAGGUUACCAACCCAUUACUGACGCUGAGGCACGAAAGCGUGGGGAGCAAACAGG